rnacentral:lncRNA from 1 species
GCGAAGAAUUGAAGAAUUACAGAUGAAUGUACAAAAAGAACUUAAUUGUGUGAAUCGAAAAAUAAACAUUGCUAUUACACGAAUUACAAAUCCUUAUGGACACCCCAAUAUUCUUGCCGAAUUUAUAGCCGGACAAUUAAAAAAUAGAGUUUCUUUUCGAAAAGCAAUGAAAAAAGCUAUUGAAUUAACGGAACAGGCCGAUACAAAAGGAAUUCAAGUACAAAUUGCAGGGCGUCUUGACGGAAAAGAAAUUGCGCGCGCCGAAUGGAUCAGAGAAGGUAGAGUUCCUCUACAAACCAUUGGAGCUAAAAUUGAUUAUUGUUCCUAUACGGUUCGAACUAUCUACGGGGUAUUGGGAAUCAAAAUUUGGAUAUUUGUAGACGAAAAAAAAUAAGAGUUUACGGGUCUUUAGAGCCCCCCCAUUAAUGGAAAUAAACCAAACAAAGAACGAGCUCUUUUUAUCUUCAAUCAAAACAAAAAUGAGAAAUUCCGCAAUUCUAUAGGGUUGAAUAAAAAUUCGAUUGAUUUUUUUUUUUUUUAUAUAAUUGCUAUGCUUAGUGUGCGACUCGUUGGUUUUUUUUAGGGCUAGGAUUCCAAAAAAUGGACCGUCCUGUAGUAUGAACUAAUAACUAUAGCACUAAUAACCAACUCAUUGCUUCGUAUUAUCUGAAUCCAAAGAACCAGUCAAGAUAUAAUAUAGUGGUCAUAUCGUUGUAGCAACUGAAAUUUGCAUAACAUAAAAACCCAAUCUGAUUGUAGGUUGUGAAGUUCGAAGUUGUGAAAGAAAAUCGAAAAGCAUGCGGAUAAAUGGAAGGAUGAGAGAAAGAGAGAAAGAAAAUAUCAAUGAUAUAAGAUUCCAAUAUGUAAGGUCUGUAAGUCAUCUCAUAAAAAACAGUGUAAUAUAGCAUCAAUAAUGAUUCAUCCCUAACUAGAUGAAUCCGCUCAUAGAACAAAAAAAUCAAGAGCCCCGAGCCAAUAAAAACUGAGAAAAUUGACUUAAGAAAAAAUUUCAUUAAGGGCUCCGUUGGAGAAUUCAGACCUAACCAUUAAUCGAGAAGCAAUGGGAACGACGGAACCCGUGAAUAAAGAAAAAGAAGAUUCUAUUGGAAAUGAAUCUUAAUGAUUUAUUGGGUGGGAUGGCGAAACGAACCCAGGAACUAAACUAUUCUUUUAUUCGUAGAGGUCAUGAACUAACCCUACAACUGAAAUAGAUAUUGAAAGAGUAAAUAUUCGCCCGCGAAAGGUUUAUUUUUUGAUUUUAUUGGAUUGAUUCAUUUUGCUCGAUCCGAUAUGGUAAAGGGCAAACAAAAUAAAGAUUUGUUAUAACGAUAAAAAAAAAAAUAAACCUUUCGCGGGCGAAUAUUUACUCUUUCAAUAUCUAUUUCAGUUGUAGGGUUAGUUCAUGACCUCUACGAAUAAAAGAAUAGUUUAGUUCCUGGGUUCGUUUCGCCAUCCCACCCAAUAAAUCAUUAAGAUUCAUUUCCAAUAGAAUCUUCUUUUUCUUUAUUCACGGGUUCCGUCGUUCCCAUUGCUUCUCGAUUAAUGGUUAGGUCUGAAUUCUCCAACGGAGCCCUUAAUGAAAUUUUUUCUUAAGUCAAUUUUCUCAGUUUUUAUUGGCUCGGGGCUCUUGAUUUUUUUUGUUCUAUGAGCGGAUUCAUCUAGUUAGGGAUGAAUCAUUAUUGAUGCUAUAUUACACUGUUUUUUAUGAGAUGACUUACAGACCUUACAUAUUGGAAUCUUAUAUCAUUGAUAUUUUCUUUCUCUCUUUCUCUCAUCCUUCCAUUUAUCCGCAUGCUUUUCGAUUUUCUUUCACAACUUCGAACUUCACAACCUACAAUCAGAUUGGGUUUUUAUGUUAUGCAAAUUUCAGUUGCUACAACGAUAUGACCACUAUAUUAUAUCUUGACUGGUUCUUUGGAUUCAGAUAAUACGAAGCAAUGAGUUGGUUAUUAGUGCUAUAGUUAUUAGUUCAUACUACAGGACGGUCCAUUUUUUGGAAUCCUAGCCCUAAAAAAAACCAACGAGUCGCACACUAAGCAUAGCAAUUAUAUAAAAAAAAAAAAAUCAAUCGAAUUUUUAUUCAACCCUAUAGAAUUGCGGAAUUUCUCAUUUUUGUUUUGAUUGAAGAUAAAAAGAGCUCGUUCUUUGUUUGGUUUAUUUCCAUUAAUGGGGGGCUCUAAAGACCCGUAAACUCUUAUUUUUUUUCGUCUACAAAUAUCCAAAUUUUGAUUCCCAAUACCCCGUAGAUAGUUCGAACCGUAUAGGAACAAUAAUCAAUUUUAGCUCCAAUGGUUUGUAGAGGAACUCUACCUUCUCUGAUCCAUUCGGCGCGCGCAAUUUCUUUUCCGUCAAGACGCCCUGCAAUUUGUACUUGAAUUCCUUUUGUAUCGGCCUGUUCCGUUAAUUCAAUAGCUUUUUUCAUUGCUUUUCGAAAAGAAACUCUAUUUUUUAAUUGUCCGGCUAUAAAUUCGGCAAGAAUAUUGGGGUGUCCAUAAGGAUU